UACAGAGGUCCCGAGCGUUGUUCGGAUUCACUGGGCGUAAAGGGUGCGUAGGUGGCGAUGAAAGUUCGAUGUGAAAUCUCCGGGCUUAACCCGGAAAAAGGCAUUGAAAACUAUGUUGCUUGAGGUUUGGAGGGGGGACGUGGAAUUCUUGGUGUAGCAGUGAAAUGCGUAGAUAUCAAGAGGAACACCAGUGGCGAAGGCGGGUCCCUGGACAACACCUGACACUGAGGCACGAAAGCUAGGGGAGCAAACGGG
rnacentral:rRNA from 1 species